UACGGAGGGUGCGAGCGUUGUCCGGAUUUACUGGGCGUAAAGAGCGCGCAGGCGGCUGGCCAAGUCCGAUGUGAAAGCUUCCGGCUUAACUGGGAAACAGCAUCGGAAACUGACCGGCUUGAAGGUGGGAGAGGGUAGCGGAAUUCCCGGUGUAGUGGUGAAAUGCGUAGAUAUCGGGAGGAACACCAGUGGCGAAGGCGGCUACCUGGCCCAUUCUUGACGCUGAGGCGCGAAAGCUAGGGGAGCAAACGGG
rnacentral:rRNA from 1 species